rnacentral:tRNA from 1 species
GGAUUGUGGCUCAGUGGUAGAGCAUUCACCUAGCAUGUGUGAGGCCCUGGGUUCAAUCCACAGCACCA